rnacentral:rRNA from 1 species
GACGAACCGUGCAAACGUUGUUCGGAAUCACUGGGCUUAAAGGGCGCGUAGGCGGCUCGCCAAGUCGGGGGUGAAAUCUUUCGGCUUAACCGGAAAAGUGCCUUCGAUACUGGCGGGCUGGAGGGAGGUAGGGGCAUGUGGAACUUCCGGUGGAGCGGUGAAAUGCGUUGAUAUCGGAAGGAACGCCGGUGGCGAAAGCGACGUGCUGGACCUCUUCUGACGCUGAGGCGCGAAAGCUAGGGGAGCGAACGGG